rnacentral:rRNA from 1 species
AUUGAACGCUGGCGGCAGGCCUAACACAUGCAAGUCGAGCGGAUGAAGGGAGCUUGCUCCUGGAUUCAGCGGCGGACGGGUGAGUAAUGCCUAGGAAUCUGCCUGGUAGUGGGGGAUAACGUCCGGAAACGGGCGCUAAUACCGCAUACGUCCUGAGGGAGAAAGUGGGGGAUCUUCGGACCUCACGCUAUCAGAUGAGCCUAGGUCGGAUUAGCUAGUUGGUGGGGUAAAGGCCUACCAAGGCGACGAUCCGUAACUGGUCUGAGAGGAUGAUCAGUCACACUGGAACUGAGACACGGUCCAGACUCCUACGGGAGGCAGCAGUGGGGAAUAUUGGGCAAUGGGCGAAAGCCUGAUCCAGCCAUGCCGCGUGUGUGAAGAAGGUCUUCGGAUUGUAAAGCACUUUAGGUUGGGAGGAAGGGCAGUAAGUUAAUACCUUGCUGUUUUGACGUUACCAACAGAAUAAGCACCGGCUAACUUCGUG